rnacentral:rRNA from 1 species
UACAGAGGGGGCAAGCGUUGUUCGGAAUUACUGGGCGUAAAGGGCGCGUAGGCGGCCUGCUAAGUCGAACGUGAAAUCCCCGGGCCAACCCGGGAACUGCGUCCGAUACUGGUAGGCUUGAAUUCGGGAGAGGGAUGCGGAAUUCCAGGUGGUAGCGGGUGAAAUGCGUAGAUAUCUGGAGGAACACCGGUGGCGAAGGCGGCAUCCUGGACCGACAU